GGAAUAAUGACAGCCCGAGCUAAGUAAGUGCCAUGGACUUGGGCCUUGUCCUGCGGCUGCCCCCCUUCAGUGCCUGGAUUCCUCCUGCAGUGAUGUCCAGCCUGUCCUUUAGCACAGCUGUUGACAUCUUAUCUAGGAAGAAUGAGGAAAGUGGAAUUGAAGAGUACUUCAGUCUUGACCAGGAUUCUGAGAAAUGGAGAGCCACAGAAACAGCCUGCUCCCGUGGGUCACCGCCGGCGGCCACUACGCCUCCCACAGGGACAGCCGGGGCCGGCACAUAAGGUCACCACAACCCCGGCCUCCGGAGACACUGCAGGUACACACAAAGCUCCCCGAGAAUGCCUCUCCACCUACGCUAAGGACAAGAGCUGCAUUCUUCAGCCCAGUUAUCUGGAAGAGACAAAACCAAAUGUUCAAGGAUGUUUAGAAGGAGUGGCUCCGGGUCUCAUGCGAUGUAAUGCAAGGAACUGGCGAGAAGGUCCUGCCUGGCUCCAGCUCCGACACAACGCGGGGUCCAGGACAGAGGGCAGGGCCCUGUGGCUGCUGCGGAAAGCCAGGCCGGCACCAAGCAUGGAAGCUCCGUGUGUGAGGUGGAGUCAGAGAGGCUUGCACAUUGCUCUGGUGACAGGAAACUUGUCUCUGGCUCUUGUGACUUUGCUUUUCCUUCUAACUGACUGAUAGAAACAUGAAUAACUUCAUUCCGCUUUACAAGCCUUCUUCAUCAAAAUUAGACUUCGUCACUUCAGCUGCUCCAUUAAAGGAAAGGAACUCAGUCAGCUGCUCGCUGGUGAUACUCCAGCUUCUCUGAUGUCAUUUUUACUGGAAAAAAUAGGAUGUAGUAAUAUAGAAUUAAGCAGAAAAGGCUGUUUCUUAUGUAUCACAUUGUUACUUAAAGAUACACAAGAAUUCAUGCUUGGUUACUUUAAACUUUAAUGCCUCUCUCUCUUUUUGCUUUCUGGAUUAAAAGCAAAAAC
rnacentral:lncRNA from 1 species